AUGGCUCGUUCUAUAUGGUCAGUCAUCCAGAUAGCUUCUGGCUUGUAUCCUCCUUGUAGUGUUGCUAAUGUAUUUGGCAACUGGUUACAUGGGAUUGAUCACAGGUUUAGAACUCUUCUUAGGGUGGAAGCGCUUGCCGUUAUUUGGUCACUUUGGCUAUGUAGGAAUGAUAAGGUUUUUAAUGAUAAAAGUACUUCUCUAAUGCAGGUUAUCUACAGAUGUACUGGGAUUCUUUGUUUAUGGUCCUCUCUACAACGCGUGAAAAAUUGA
rnacentral:rRNA from 1 species